GGAGGGUCCAAGCGUUGUCCGGAUUUAUUGGGUGUAAAGGGUGUGUAGGCGGGCUUGCAAGUCAGAGGUGAAAUCCUACGGCUUAACCGUAGAACUGCCUUUGAUACUGCAGGUCUUGAGUCCUGGAGAGGUUGUUAGAAUUCGUGGUGUAGCGGUGAAAUGCGUAGAUAUCACGAGGAAUACCGGUUACGAAGGUUGACAGCUGGACAGGUACUGACGCUGAGGCACGAAAGCGUGGGGAGCAAACAGGAUUAGAUACCCUGGUAGUCCACGCCGUAAACGAUGAUCACUCGUGUCGCGGAGCAAUCUGCGGUGCCCAAGCAAACGCAUUAAGUGAUCCACCUGGGGAUACGAUCGCAAGGUUG
rnacentral:rRNA from 1 species